rnacentral:piRNA from 1 species
UGUAAUAUACCCAAAGAUGUGCAGUGGAU